rnacentral:ncRNA from 1 species
UUCCCAAAAACAUAAAGUUUUGGUCCUAAACUUGCCAUUGUUUUUUAGCAAAAUUAUACAUGCAAGCCUCUACAAGCCAGUGAGAAUGCCCACGUACCCUAAACAGCUAACCGGAGCGGGCAUCAGGAUACAAUCAACGUUUAAGCCAAAGACGCCUUGCGCACGCCACACCCACACGGGUCUUCAGCAGUAAUUAACAUUAAAAAUGAGCGCAAGCUCGAUUUAGUUAUUCUAAACAUGGUCGGUAAAUUUCGUGCCAGCCACCGCGGUUAUACGAAAGACCAAAAACAACAGCCAACGGCGUAAAGCGUGACUAGAGGCUUACCUAAUAAUUAAAGGAGAACAACCGCCAAGUUGUAAAACACUACUGCACACUAGAAUCACAACAAUAAAUGCCUUUAAACAGACUUCACCUCACGAAAGCUAAGAAACAAACUGGGAUUAGAUACCCCACUAUGCUUAGCCCUAAACACAGAUAGUAUAAACACAAACUAUCCGCCAGAGAACUACAAGCGAAAAGCUUAAAACUCCAAGGACUUGGCGGUGCUUCAAAUCAACCUAGAGGAGCCUGUCCUAUAAUCGAUACCCCACGUUUUACCUUACCACUUCUAGCCAACCAGCCUAUAUACCGCCGUCGUCAGCCUACCUUAUGAAAGAAAUAAAGUGAGCAAAAAAGUCAAUAACUAACACGUCAGGUCAAGGUGUAGCAUACGAAGUGGCAGAGAUGGGCUACAUUUUUUCAAAGUAAAAACACAGAUAGUAAACUGAAACACACACUUGAAGGCGGAUUUAGUAGUAAGACAAGAAAGCACACUCGUCUUAAAUCUGCUCUGAAGCGCGCACACACCGCCCGUCACCCUCAUCAUAUGUUACACCACACAAAAUAUUUCAUUA